CGACUGGCGGUGGAUCUGGAGUUGGGUGUUGCCGGGUGACCGGCUCGCCUUAAAGCUGUUAGUGGGAAGGGUGUCCUCUGGCCUGACGUAAUAAGUUUCGUCUGUCCUUGGAUGUCCAUGCCUGCUGCGAACCCCUUUGCCCCUGGGCAAAACUCUUUAUGCUGGACCUCAAAUCAGGUAGGACUACCCGCUGAACUUAA
rnacentral:misc_RNA from 1 species